GGCAGGCUUAACACAUGCAAGUCGAGGGGUAACAGAGGUAGCUUGCUACUUGCUGACGACCGGCGCACGGGUGCGUAACGCGUAUAGAAUCUACCUUAUACUGGGGGAUAGCCUUUGGAAACGAAGAUUAAUACCCCAUAGUAUGUUUGAAUGGCAUCAUUUAGGCAUUAAAGUUUCGGCGGUAUAAGAUGACUAUGCGUUCUAUUAGUUUGUUGGUAAGGUAACGGCUUACCAAGACUACGAUAGAUAGGGGUCCUGAGAGGGAGAUCCCCCACACUGGUACUGAGACACGGACCAGACUCCUACGGGAGGCAGCAGUGAGGAAUAUUGGACAAUGGAGGCAACUCUGAUCCAGCCAUGCCGCGUGUAGGAAGACUGCCCUAUGGGUUGUAAACUACUUUUAUAUGGGAAGAAUAAGGUCUACGUGUAGACUGAUGACGGUACCAUAAGAAUAAGCACCGGCUAACUCCGUGCCAGCAGCCGCGGUAAUACGGAGGGUGCAAGCGUUAUCCGGAAUCAUUGGGUUUAAAGGGUCCGUAGGCGGGCAUAUAAGUCAGUGGUGAAAGUCUGUGGCUCAACCAUAGAAUUGCCAUUGAUACUGUAUGUCUUGAAUUAUUGUGAAGUGGUUAGAAUAUGUAGUGUAGCGGUGAAAUGCUUAGAGAUUACAUAGAAUACCGAUUGCGAAGGCAGAUCACUAACAAUAUAUUGACGCUGAUGGACGAAAGCGUAGGUAGCGAACAGGAUUAGAUACCCUGGUAGUCUACGCCGUAAACGAUGGAUACUAGUUGUUUGGUCUUCGGACUGAGUGACUAAGCGAAAGUGAUA
rnacentral:rRNA from 1 species